rnacentral:rRNA from 1 species
CCUACGGGAGGCUGCAGUGGGGAAUAUUGCACAAUGGGGGGAACCCUGAUGCAGCGACGCCGCGUGAGUGAAGAAGUAUUUCGGUAUGGUAAGCUCUAUUAGCAGGGGCGAAAAUGACGGUACGUGAAUAAGAAGCACCGGCUAAUUACGUGCCAGCAGCCGCGGUAAUACGUAGGGAGCAAGCGUUAUCAGGAUUUACUGGGUGUAAAGGGAGCGUAGACGGUUAUGUAAGUCUGAAGUGAAAGCCCAAGGCUCAACAAUGGGACUGCUUUGGAAACUGUCAGACUGGAGUGUAGGAGAGGUAAGCGGAAUGCAUAGUGUAGCGGUGAAAUGCAUAGAGAUCAUACAGAACACCAAUUGCGAAGGCAGCUUA